rnacentral:lncRNA from 1 species
GAGGAUUUUGAAGGAUUUCUGUGGAUUUUUGAAGGAUUUCUGUGGUUUUUAAAGGAUUUUUCGGAUUUUGAUGGACUCAACAGAUUUUGAGGAUUUCAUGGAUUUUUCUGGAUUUUUUCCGGAUUUUUUGACGAAGUGUACGGGAUUUUUGGAGUGAAUUGCCCCUCGCAGAAAACAAAUUUUGUGAAAUUUUUUCCUUGGCCUUUCCA